UGAACCAAAUUAUUUAUAAAUAUAAGGAAAAUAUGAAAAAAUACACAGAACCUGUUUUCCCAUUAUAGAGCAAAUUGGACCAAGAGUACAAAUAGCUCUGUUAAAACCGUAAAAAUUAACUUUAGUUAAAUAAAAAGAGAUUUUUCAAAUUGUCAGAGUGAACAAAUAUAUUUACAUUUAAAAGUAUCAAAAAAAUAUGUAAAAAUUUUAGGUAUACCUAAAAUUUACUUAGUUGUAAGUACAAUACAUUAUCGGCGUGUAUAUAGUUUAUUAUAAUUGUGUGUGAAAAAACCUUAAAUACAAAAUUUUAUACUGCUUAACUCUUUCGUUAAUUGUGAUGUGUUUUAAUUUAUUAUAUAGUUAUACUGUUAAUUCAUAGUAAUACUGUUAAACAUUAAGGUGCGUUUGAGGAUGAUCCUAUUAAGGGAUUGAGUUUUGCAAAAUCAUAGCUGAACAGUUUUUUACAAAUUACAAGACAGUGGACAGUAUCCAUUUCACUGGUGUUUAACAUAUCAAUGGCUUUGGAACUCAUUGCAAACAUAAGUAUUUUGAUUACCUGGAAAAAUUUGCUGAAAAGAUUCUUCUGUAAUCUAUUGAUUUUAUAAGACCAAGCAAUAAAAAUUCAGCAAUAAAAAUAGAAAACUGUUUUGAAGCAAUUAAAAGACUGCUCAAACGAGAAACAAGAAUUGUACAUUGGGCCUCGGGUGAAUGUUGAAAAAUAUUAUCCAAUAUCAAAAAAGCAUUAUUUGACUCAGCUUCAACUAUUCAAGUUUUCACCGGCACCAAGACAAAAGGGAUAGCACAAUUGGCGAUUAGAGAAAGCAAAGUAGCACGAUUUGUUAACACCAGAGAUCGCUCUAAAGAUUUGCUAUGAUAAGACAGAAGUUUCAAUGGAGGAAGAGAAAAAAGAAAAUAGUAAAGAAAGUAGUGAGAAAGAAAGUAAUAACGAAUCUUAAAAAUAAAGCGGAAGAUUAUGUUUUAAGUAAAUAUUGAUAUCAUGUAAUAAUAUUAAUACUAUAUAAAU